AGAGUUUGAUCCUGGCUCAGGAUGAACGCUGGCGGCGUGCUUAACACAUGCAAGUCGAGCGAAGCGAUUUAAGUGAAGUUUUCGGAUGGAUCUUAAAUUGACUGAGCGGCGGACGGGUGAGUAACGCGUGGAUAACCUGCCUCACACAGGGGGAUAACAGUUAGAAAUGACUGCUAAUACCGCAUAAGCGCACGGUACCGCAUGGUACAGUGUGAAAAACUCCGGUGGUGUGAGAUGGAUCCGCGUCUGAUUAGGUAGUUGGUGAGGUAACGGCCCACCAAGCCGACGAUCAGUAGCCGACCUGAGAGGGUGACCGGCCACAUUGGGACUGAGACACGGCCCAAACUCCUACGGGAGGCAGCAGUGGGGAAUAUUGCACAAUGGGGGAAACCCUGAUGCAGCGACGCCGCGUGAGUGAAGAAGUAUUUCGGUAUGUAAAGCUCUAUCAGCAGGGAAGAAAAUGACGGUACCUGACUAAGAAGCCCCGGCUAACUACGUGCCAGCAGCCGCGGUAAUACGUAGGGGGCAAGCGUUAUCCGGAUUUACUGGGUGUAAAGGGAGCGUAGACGGCGACGCAAGUCUGAAGUGAAAUACCCGGGCUCAACCUGGGAACUGCUUUGGAAACUGUGUUGCUAGAGUGCUGGAGAGGUAAGCGGAAUUCCUAGUGUAGCGGUGAAAUGCGUAGAUAUUAGGAAGAACACCAGUGGCGAAGGCGGCUUGCUGGACAGUAACUGACGUUCAGGCUCGAAAGCGUGGGGAGCAAACAGGAUUAGAUACCCUGGUAGUCCACGC
rnacentral:rRNA from 1 species